GCAAAACUGAGGGCUAACAACCACCUGCUGCUCUCCUGCCAUCAUCACUAGGAUGACAGGUGACACAGCCUCGACACCUGCUGCAUAAGCUCGAGGACCCACACCUUGCUACAGCCUACAUCACCACAUCGCACCACUUGACAGCAUCCACCAUGGCACCACAAGC